ensembl:lncRNA
CCAAUAUUCAGAAGAAAGUCACUGAUCCUUCCCAUACUCAAAGGGAUUACACAAAGGUGUGAAUACCAGGAGCUGGAGAACCUGAAAACACUCUAAAGUCUGUCUGCUACACAUCUGUUUUGGUAAAAGGAGUCUCCCCUGGUGCUGUGAGAUUGGUUUUCUGUGUUGGAAGGAGAGCAUGGAGAGCAGCUGCUGUCUCCCGGCCUGGUGCAGAGUAUACAAGAGUGCGUGGCACAGAAUUCAUCUACCAAAUAUCCCAACAGGUUAACCAGUUCUGGAGGGAGGAAGUCACAGCUCUUACUUUUGAAGGUUCUUUGUAUUGAGUAUAAAAGAGUCUGUGUUUC